UCUUUCCUAUUUUCUUCCUCAAAUCCCUAAAUUUGAACGAUUUAGGGUUUCAAAUUCAAUGGCUGAAGUCUAUAAUAUAUAUAUAUAUAUGAUCGUUGCAACAUUCUAAUUUUGUUUAUAUCCAUUGUCAAUUUCAUGAAAUUCAAUUCUUUCAUCCAGCCAUUUGGUUCCGGGACUUUCAGCACCCUCUACUAAAUAGGCCAAGCUCCGCCAUUGAUAGGGAUGUAUAUAAUGCAGGUUUUCACCUCUCUAAACAAAUGGUCAAAUGCUUAAAUUCUGCCUCAUUUUCACCUCUCUAAACAUUGCAUAUAUCUCAAUUUCAUGAAGCUUAAUGUGCCGAGGUAACUAGGUUAUCUGCAUCCAUAAGUUUACUCCAUGAUGUGGGUCACGGGCCAUUCAGCCAUCAUAGUCUAAAAAGAAAAUCAAAUAGCAUAGGAACAAGCAGCAAGUAUCGUGGGUCUCAAGGAGUUACGGGUAUCCAGGUAAGUCACUCGAACAAUCGUGUUUGUGAAGUGUGAACUUUCUUUGUCUUUCUGUUAACAGUCCUUUCAACUCACUCUUUUAUAUAAAACACUUUACAAUAUUGCAUGUGAGGAUGCAAGUGCUCCUUUAAGAAAGAAUACAAGGUGUGACGGCUGAGCAUAUUAAGAAAGAAAGACAACGGGCGUAUUAGCUUCAUGGUAGAAGACAUAUGUGAUAUCAAAUUGGAAGUGACGCGGAAACCUUUAGUAUACAAUAUGUAGAAAUGACUCCCUGCAAGAAUCAAAUACCACCCUUAUGAGGAUCGUUAGAAUUGGCCAGAUUAAAGGGGUAGGCUGGGCUGAGUUGAUCGAGUUUGAUUUAUGUGGUGGAUGUUAAGAGGAGCAUAGAGGAAGGGAGAAACGAUUGAACCAACUUCUAUUCAAGGGGUAAAUUUGAUGAGGAGACUUUAGUCAACGUCAACAACAUCAAAAGGCAAAUUGCAACAAGUCAUAGAUCAAACGACUUCCACAAUGAAUUCAAUGGUUACAAAAAUUUACUUUACGUAAGACAUAGUUCAUUUAUUUCUCGGAUAUUCAUCAAUAUAUAUAUCUGUGUAUUUACUUAUAACUAUUCGGUUUUUGUUAUAACAUUAUUUUUGCAUGUCA